rnacentral:sRNA from 1 species
GUAUAUGGAUGAAGGUAUAAGCAGUAACAGUCAUAUUGGAAGUUACUCAUAAUGAGAAGCAGGUUUAGUGUGUUAUUAUAAAGAACAAGACUUAGAAAUGACAUCAGAGGGAGAGCAAGAAAGGCUUGAAGGAUGUGAAAGUAGCCAGCCACAGGUUGAAGAAAAAAUGAAGAAAUGCAGAAAUAAGAAAAUGGAAGUGUCAAGAAACGUACAUGCUGAUGACAGUGACAAUUAUAAUGAUGAUGUUGAUGAAUUAAUUCACAAAAUAAAGAACAGAAAACCUGAUAAUCAUCAAUCUCCCGGGAAGGAGAAUGGCGAGUUUGAUAGGCUUGCAAGGAAAACCUCUAAUGAAAAGAGCAAGGUUAAAAGCCAAAUAUAUUUCAGGGAUGACCUUAAUGACAUAACUGGGUCAUCUGAAAAAACCUCAGAGGAUGAUGAGUUGCCUUACUCUGAUGAUGAGAAUUUUAUGUUACUCAUUGAACAAAGUGGAAUGGAGUGUAAAGAUUUUGUUAGCCUAUCGAAAAGCAAGAAUGCAACAGCUGCAUGUGGAAGAUCAAUAGAGGAUCAAAAAUGUUACUGUGAACAACUUAAAGUAAAAUUUCAAAAAAUGAAAAAUAAUAUUAGCGUACUACAAAAGGUACUAUCUGAAACAGACAAAACCAAAUCACAGUCAGAGCAUCAGAAUCUUCAAGGGAAAAAAAAGCUCUGUAAUUUGAGAUUUAUCUUACAACAACAAGAAGAAGAAAGAAUAAAGGCUGAAGAGUUGUAUGAAAAAGAUAUAGAAGAGUUAAAAAUAAUGGAAGAGCAAUAUAGGACACAAACUGAAGUGAAAAAACAAUCUAAACUGACUCUCAAAUCAUUGGAAGUGGAAUUGAAGACUGUAAGAAGUAACUCAAAUCAGAAUUCUCAUACUCAUGAAAGAGAAAGAGACCUGUGGCAGGAAAAUUACUUGAUGCGGGAUGAAAUUGCCAGACUCAGGCUGGAAAUAGACACAAUAAAACAUCAGAACCAGGAAACUGAAAAUAAAUAUUUCAAAGAUAUUGAAAUUAUAAAGGAAAACAAUGAAGACCUUGAAAAGACUCUCAAGCGGAAUGAGGAAACAUUAACAAAAACAAUAACCCGGUAUAGUAAAGAGCUUAAUGUUCUGAUGGAUGAGAAUACAAUGCUCAAUUCUGAGCUACAGAAGGAAAAACAAAGCAUGUCAAGACUGGAAACAGAAAUGGAAUCAUACCAUUGUAGACUGGCUGCUGCCCUAUGUGAUCAUGAUCAACGUCAGUCAUCAAAAAGAGACCUACAGCUUGCUUUCCAGAGCACAGUGAAUGAAUGGUGUCAUUUACAAGAAGACACUAAUUCUCACAUUCAGAUUCUUUCUCAGCAACUUUCUAAAGCUGAGAGUACAUCCAGUGGCCUGGAAACUGAGCUCCAUUAUGAAAGAGAGGCUCUCAAAGAAAAGACGUUGCAUAUAGAACACAUGCAAGGAGUCCUAAGCCGAACACAGCGUCGAUUGGAGGACAUUGAACACAUGUACCAAAAUGACCAACCUAUUUUGGAAAAAUACGUGAGAAAGCAGCAAUCUGUAGAGGAUGGACUAUUUCAACUACAAAGCCAAAAUCUGUUGUAUCAACAGCAAUGUAAUGAUGCUCGCAAGAAAGCUGACAAUCAGGAAAAAACAAUAAUUAAUAUCCAAGUCAAAUGUGAAGAUACUGUAGAAAAACUUCAAGCUGAGUGUAGAAAGCUAGAAGAGAACAAUAAGGGGUUGAUGAAGGAAUGCACUCUUUUAAAAGAAAGACAAUGCCAAUAUGAAAAAGAGAAAGAAGAAAGAGAAGUAGUCAGGAGACAGCUUCAACGAGAAGUGGAUGAUGCCCUGAACAAACAAUUGCUGUUAGAAACUAUGCUAGAGAUUUCAUCAGAACGUCGCAUUAAUUUAGAAGAUGAGGCACGAAGUUUAAAGAAGAAAUUAGGCCAGAUGAGAAGUCAAGUAUGUAUGAAACUUAGCAUGUCAACAGUUACUCUGUAGCUGGUUAAAUAAUAUCAAGUGUUUCAGGACACUAGUUUCAGUGGAGAGCUUUCUUUUGUAUUUUCAUUAUAAUUAAUUUUAUUAAAAUUUGAUUAUCUUUAUAAUACAUCCAUUUCUCAAUCUCUGCCAUGUUUUAUAAUUAUAAAUAUUUUUCUUACACUAUUUCCCCUUAAUGAAAGUUGAGAAUUACACAUCAUUUCUCACAGAAGAUUAGAGAAUUCUUUUUUCUUUUUACAGUAUAUUUUUAGUGAUUUCUUUCAUUGCCACGUGGAGACAAGCCAGAUUAAUUCAGAGGAUAAUGUCUAAUGGAAUGUUUCAGAAAAUUUUCUUUUUUUAAUCUCUACUUUUCUGUGUGAAUGAAGACUUGUGCUUACUUAUUUCAUGGGUUUCUGGUUAACUGGUACAGAAAGUCCAUUCUGCAGAAUAAAUUAGUAUUUUGAUGAAAAUCCUUGCUCUGACUUUAUAUUGAUCUAUAGUCAGAGUCAUAUGACUAUGGACAGUUAGCAUUUGCCAACAUGUAUGUGUCUACUUUCUCUUGCUUAAAACAAAAACAAAAAACUUUACAAAUGGGGUUAUAGAAUGUCAGCAAAGGGUAGGUUUGAGAUGUUUGGGUGGGUCAAGUGGGCAUUUUGACAAUGUGGCUUCUCCUUUGGCAUGUCAAUGGACAUCCCUGCAUUUUAAGAUGACACUUUUAAAUAAAUUAUCUCCUAAUGAUGACAUGAGCCCUGCCACUUGAUAGGAGAAUCUAUCUAUUUUAAUUAUUUUUCUGUUUGUUUUAAAAUUUUCUUCUGGUUUCCCUGGAAAGGAAAGAUGAUGCUUAGUUUUAAAUGUUAAAAAUGGGUCGGGCGCGGUGGCUCACGCCUGUAAUCCAAGCACUUUGGGAGGCUGAAGCGGGUGGAUCACCUGAGGUCAGGAGUUUGAGACCAUCCUGGCCAACAUGGUGAAACCCCAUCUCUACUAAAAAAGAUACAGAAAUUAGCUGGGCAUGGUGGUGGCGCACGCCUGUAGUCCCAGCUCCUCGGGACGCUGAGGCAGGAGAAUCGCUUGAACCUGGGGGGGUGGAGGUUGCAGUGAGCCAAGAUGGUGCCACUGCACUCCAGCCUGGGUGGCUGAGCAAGACUCCAUCUUAAAAAAAAAAGUGCAAGGUUUCUUGCUACAGCAAAAAUUAAAUGCAUACAGACAAAAAAGAAAUGAAAUUAUAGUUGAUAUAGUGGUGUUUGGAAUUGAAAAAUAUAAAUGCUUACUAUAAUUUCCUAUGUUUCCCCAUUUUACCAAUUUUGUAAAUUUGAGUAUCUGAUAAAAUAGAAAUUAGAAAAGAAAAAUACUGUGUUUUAAUCAUAGAGCAUAGGCAGUAAACUUUUCUGUAAAGGGCCAAGUAGUAUUAUUUGAGACUUUGUGAGCCAUAAGAUCCCUGUUGCAACAACUCAACGCUACAGUUACAGCACAAAAGUAGCCGUAAACAAUAUGCAGACUGAAGGGGUGUGGCUGCAUUCCAGUAAAAUUUAGUUAAAAAACAGGUAAUAGGAGCCGGGCACGGUGGCUCACGCCUGUAAUCCCAGCACUUUGGGAGGCCGAGAUGGGCGGAUCACGAGGUCAGGAGAUCAAGGCCAUCCUGGCUAACACGGUGAAACCCCGUCUCUACUAAAAAACACAAAAAAUUAGCCAGGCGUGGUGGCAGGCGCCUGUAGUCCCAGCUACUCGGGAGGCUGAGGCAGGAGAAUGGUGUGAACCCGGGAGGCGGAGCUUGCGGUGAGCCCAGACGGUGCCACCGCACUCCAGCCUGGGCGACAGAGCGAGACUCUGUCUCAA